CGUCUUGCUGAUUAUGAUAUCGUAACCAGUUUAAAGAACUAGUUUAUCGCACUUUUCGCGGGUUCUAUCAACAGAUCAACAAGCAAAAAUGCCAUUUCGAGACAUUUAUAGAUAAAAAUGACGAGAUAGUAAUAUUAAAUCCAUUGACGAUAAAGAGAAAAAAGAUUCUGAAAUCGGAAUGAAGGCAUCAACAACCUAAAUACACUAGAUGCACACUGAACCAUCUUGUGUCUAAAGAGUUGGGGAUACAAGUCCAUGUCUGCUUGGUUGAAUUAAAUGAGGUCAGGAUUCCAACAAAAUUACGAUUGGAAAAGAAUAUUUAAAACUAACACUGACAAGUGACAGCCAAUUGGAAUUGCACACCUAAUUGGAAUUGCACACAUUAUCCUGUGGAAAGUUUGAUUUCUUGGUGGAGACCCAACCAUUUGUGAAGAGUUCAGA